rnacentral:tRNA from 1 species
GCCGCCUUAGCUCAGUCGGACAGAGCGACGCACUCGUAAUGCGUAGGUCGGGGGUUCGAUUCCCCCAGGCGGCUCCA